CGAGGGGGAAAGACCGGACCGCUCCGACCCACCCCCUCCCUACCCCCACCUCCCACCUUAAAGCACCUUAUACCACGGAAGGCUCUCAGCCUCUUCUUUCCUCUGCGAACGCGCUGAGCAGCGAUUGAAAACGUUUUGGUCCUCUGCAGGUUUGAACAGGGCUAGCAGGUCUCUCUCCGGAUUUCUAGGGCUAUGGGGGCGCAUUCUGGGGUCUCUGCGCAAGACCAGCUCUCAGCUCUCUCUCCUUUCCUCGGACUCUGGAGCGGGAGCGGGCCUUUCCCUCGGGUCGACCACGCCGUAGGGGACGCCGUGAAAAGAGCCGUCGCGCCCGCUGCCUCCUGCCCGCUGCGCAGAGGGCUCCGCCCGUAGAGGUCAACUUCCCUCACCCUUUUCUCUCUCCUGCUUGCCCUCCCUCCGCCCGGCCCAGGCGCUUCCAGCCCCAGACUGUGGCCACUGGCUGAGGAGUGCGAGUCGGCUGCGCUGCCCUGAGCCUAAUCCCUCUUCCGGGCCCAGACCCGAGGUCCGCGCUCCUGGGCAGUGGGGAAGCUUUAGUGAGCAGGCUUUUCUCUCCGCAGCAAACUUGUAGCCAGACCAGAUGGGCCGCCCAGCUCUCUCGGGACUAGGCAGGUGCGGAUGAGUUAAUUUUUCCGCAUUACAAAGAAAGAUGACCCAGCCCGCCCUUGGACUCUCUUUUCCCAAAAUCUCCCAACCAAACCCGCGGUAACGUUAUCAAAGGACACAGAGCCCAGGCAUAUCUGUGUGUUUAUCUUACAGGCACACACGCAUGGUUUUCUCUUUUAUAUGCUAGAUUUCAUCCCUGACAGCAGAAAAUGAUUGGCAAUGGUUAUGACGGAGAACAUGCAAUAGCGUGGUCCUUAAAAACCUGCCAUUCCUUACAAGUGCCUUAGAAAGGAUUCAGGGCGAACCAACUGGGUUAAUUGCAUUCAGUAAAAUAACACGAUUACAAAAUUA
rnacentral:lncRNA from 1 species